rnacentral:misc_RNA from 1 species
UGUUUGCCUGCGAGAGCUGGCUCACCUUAAAUGCAUUUCGGUCUGACUAGUGGCUAAUGGCCGGUUUGACUUGGCGUUAUAAGUAUUUCGCUAAGGACAUCCUUCGGGGUGGCCGUCUAUGGACUCUAGUCUCGCUUCUAACGAGGCAACAUAUCUUGACAUCUGGCCUCAAAUCAGGUAGGACUACCCGCUGAACUUAA